CCUUUCCAUUCCAAGCCAGGACUCUCCGAGAACAGUGAGCCUUUAACCGCACCCCUUGUUCUCAGGUAAGACCUGAGUCCGCAGAGGUCCCAAGACUCACUAGAAUUAUACGGCCCCUUGGUGGCCUGGCUGAUUCCAAUAGCUUUACAGAGAAUGACGUGACAACUGUUUUACUCCCUGUAUAAGCUACUGUGUCUUAGUGACUACUCAGAACACUCAGAAGUCACCCUAGUCUACCUGUGUCCCAUAGGAAGUAAACUCUCAGCGUGUAAGAAUUUGGGCAUAGAGUAUAUAUUAGAGGUUAAUUAUUCCCUUCUCACAAUAGGGAUCCACCAUAAGAUGUUCUUAAAGGGUCGCAGCUCUGAGGCAUGGACACUGAGUAUUGAGGCAACAGGAAUGAGCCACCAAUGACUUCUCAGAGAGAAAAGGGAGGAGUCAGCAGGAGUGAUCUUCGGUGAAGAUUUCAAAGAAACAAGGAUCCUGGAUAUAUCCCAUCAGCUCUUUUGACGCAUCUGCCUGCCAGCUUUGGCUGAGUACAGGACUGUUUUACAGGUAGCGUUGGCUUACGUGAGCUGGAUAGCAAGCCCAGGACACCACACAUGGUAGGCAAACACUCCCACUGUCUUAGGGUUUCAGUUGGGGAGGAAAGGGUUUAUUCAGCUUAUA